rnacentral:rRNA from 1 species
UACGGAGGGUGCAAACGUUGCUCGGAAUCAUUGGGCGUAAAGCGCACGUAGGCGGCCUGUUAAGUCGGAUGUGAAAGCCCCGGGCUCAACCCGGGAAGGGUCAUUGGAAACUGGUUGACUUGAGUACAGGAGAGAAGAGUGGAAUUCCACGUGUAGCGGUGAAAUGCGUAGAGAUGUGGAGGAACACCAGUGGCGAAGGCGACUCUUUGGCCUGAAACUGACGCUGAGGCGCGAAAGCGUGGGGAGCAAACAGG